GCUUCUCCUUCGGGAGCAGAGUGACAGGUGGUGCAUGGUUGUCGUCAGCUCGUGUCGUGAGAUGUUGGGUUAAGUCCCGCAACGAGCGCAACCCUUGAUCUUAGUUGCCAUCAUUAAGUUGGGCACUCUAAGGUGACUGCCGGUGACAAACCGGAGGAAGGUGGGGAUGACGUCAAAUCAUCAUGCCCCUUAUGACCUGGGCUACACACGUGCUACAAUGGACGGUACAAAGAGCUGCAAGACCGCGAGGUGGAGCUAAUCUCAUAAAACCGUUCUCAGUUCGGAUUGUAGGCUGCAACUCGCCUACAUGAAGCUGGAAUCGCUAGUAAUCGCGGAUCAGCAUGCCGCGGUGAAUACGUUCCCGGGCCUUGUCCACACCGA
rnacentral:rRNA from 1 species